UGGGGAAUAUUGCACAAUGGGCGGAAGCCUGAUGCAGCAACGCCGCGUGAGCGAUGAAGGCCUUUGGGUCGUAAAGCUCUGGUCCUUGGGGUAAGAAAAAAUGACGGUACCCUUGGAGGAAGCCCCGGCUAACUACGUGCCAGCAGCCGCGGUAAUACGUAGGGGGCAAGCGUUAUCCGGAAUUAUUGGGCGUAAAGAGUGCGUGGGUGGUCUUGUAAGCGCGGGGUGAAAGGCAAUAGCUCAACUAUUGUAAGCCCUGCGAACUGUGAGGCUUGAGUGCAGGAGAGGAAAGCGGAAUUCCUAGUGUAGCGGUGAAAUGCGUAGAUAUUAGGAGGAACACCAGUGGCGAAGGCGGCUUUCUGGACUGUAACUGACACUGAGGCACGAAAGCUGGGGAGC
rnacentral:rRNA from 1 species